rnacentral:rRNA from 1 species
UGUAAGCGUAUACCAAAGUUGUUGCAGUUAAAACGCUCGUAGUCGGAAUUUGGCAGUUCCGGAUGUGUGCACGUCGUGUGCGCACUUCGCGGGGAUUGCUUUUGUGGUCUUGCGUAGGAUGAGGCACUUUUAUUAGUGAACGUCCUCACGCAACCACUUUUUACUGUGAGAAAAUCAGAGUGCUCAAAGCAGACAUUUGCCGUGAAUGUAUUAGCAUGGAAUAAUAGAAUAGGACUUGGUUCUAUUUUGUUGGUUUGUUGGGACUGAGUAAUGAUUAAGAGGGACAGUUGGGGGCAUUUGUAUUUCGGCGCUAGAGGUGAAAUUCUUAGAUUGCCGAAAGACAAACUGCUGCGAAAGCGUCUGCCAAGGAUGUUUUCAUUGA